rnacentral:rRNA from 1 species
GACGUAGGGCGCGAGCGUUGUCCGGAUUUAUUGGGCGUAAAGAGCUCGUAGGCGGUUUGUCGCGUCGUUCGUGAAAACUCACAGCUUAACUGUGAGCUUGCGGUCGAUACGGGCAGGCUAGAGUUCGGUAGGGGAGACUGGAAUUCCUGGUGUAGCGGUGAAAUGCGUAGAUAUCAUGAGGAACACCGGUGGCGAAAGCGGAUACCUGGAAGAUUCCUGACUCUGAAACACGAAAGCUAGGGGAGCAAACGGG